GACGAACGCUGGCGGCGUGCUUAACACAUGCAAGUCGAACGGAAAGGCCCUGCUUUUGUGGGGUGCUCGAGUGGCGAACGGGUGAGUAACACGUGAGUAACCUGCCCUUGACUUUGGGAUAACUUCAGGAAACUGGGGCUAAUACCGGAUAGGAGCUCCUACUGCAUGGUGGGGGUUGGAAAGUUUCGGCGGUUGGGGAUGGACUCGCGGCUUAUCAGCUUGUUGGUGGGGUAGUGGCCUACCAAGGCUUUGACGGGUAGCCGGCCUGAGAGGGUGACCGGCCACAUUGGGACUGAGAUACGGCCCAGACUCCUACGGGAGGCAGCAGUGGGGAAUAUUGCACAAUGGGCGGAAGCCUGAUGCAGCAACGCCGCGUGCGGGAUGACGGCCUUCGGGUUGUAAACCGCUUUCGCCUGUGACGAAGCGUGAGUGACGGUAAUGGGUAAAGAAGCACCGGCUAACUACGUG
rnacentral:rRNA from 1 species